rnacentral:rRNA from 1 species
CAGCCGCCACGGGAAUACGGAGGGUGCAAGCGUUAAUCGGAAUUACUGGGCGUAAAGCGCACGCAGGCGGUUUGUCAAGUCAGAUGUGAAAUCCCCGAGCUUAACUUGGGAACUGCAUUUGAAACUGGCAAGCUAGAGUCUUGUAGAGGGGGGUAGAAUUCCAGGUGUAGCGGUGAAAUGCGUAGAGAUCUGGAGGAAUACCGGUGGCGAAGGCGGCCCCCUGGACAAAGACUGACGCUCAGGCGCGAAAGCGUGGGGAGCAAACAGGAUUAGAUACCCCUGUAGUCCCUGUCUCUUAUAC